rnacentral:lncRNA from 1 species
GGGGCCCAGCAGUACCUGGUGCACAUUCAAAAGUACUUUCAACAGGAGCAAAGCCGAGCCUCCCGUGGUGUGCUGGGCUCUGUGCCACCCGGAGGGUGGAAGUGAGGAACGCUGAGUGGGACCACGCUCUUCAGUACCCCACCCGCACUUCCCAUGAAGGAGACAGGAAUGUUGUCCCCAGUGCUGGUCGGUCAGGCAUUCAGUCGACAAACACCCACCCAGCAGAUGGCCUUGGGCUCAGCAGAUGCACAGAACCGGUAAGCACAGCCGAGGAGAACAGCGAGAACGGAGCUGGCCCAAGGGAGAGCCUACCUGGAAAGAGGGGUUGAAGACCAGGCAUCAUUUCCGCCAUCUCCAUCAUCAUCACUGCUAUGAUCCCCAUCACCGUCAUCGUCACCACCAUCACCCCCUUGAACCCGGCUCCAAGAACUUCCUGCCCCCCCCACCUCUGUAUGUCACUCCUCAGGAAAGGCAGUCCAUUUUGUUUAAACAUGUCCUUGGAGCAGGCCACUGUCCCCAACAUUUCUCACGCCAGUAGACCGGCAUUUUGCCCUGGUUCUAGAAAAGACCACAUCACGGUAUGACUUUGGGUAGGAGAAGAAUGGGAUUGUAUGUCCUUCUUCCCACAAAGCCCAAAGGGUAAUUGGCUUCUACCACCAAGAGGCCCCAGAUAGUCCCAGGCAGUGGUGCUACUGGCUGCCACUCAAGGGUGGGGAGGGGGGGGUCCUGGGUCCAGGCAGGGAUGGGUGAGAAUGAGUGGCACUUGUCUCCAGCCCUGUCCACAGGACUCUGGCCCUAGCCCUGGGCAGGGAGGGGUUCCCACAGAGGAAAGGACGGGCGCUGUGACCUCACCCCUCCCUUGACUUUGUACAAGUCUCCACUGUGGAGACUGGGUUUGGAUUCAUCACUAAAUGGGGC